rnacentral:rRNA from 1 species
AGAGUUUGAUCCUGGCUCAGAUUGAACGCUGGCGGCGUGCCUAACACAUGCAAGUCGAGCGGUAACAGGUGUAGCAAUACAUGCUGACGAGCGGCGAACGGGUGAGUAAUGCUUUGGAAUCUUCCCAGUAGUGGGGAACAACCAGUCGAAAGAUUGGCUAAUACCGCAUACGUCUGUGAAGAGAAAGCGGGGGAUCGCAAGACCUCGCGCUAUUGGAUGAGCCAAAGUCGGAUUAGCUAGUUGGUGAGGUAAUGGCUCACCAAGGCGACAAUCCGUAGCUGGUCUGAGAGGACGACCAGCCACACCGGAACUGAGACACGGUCCGGACUCCUACGGGAGGCAGCAGUGGGGAAUAUUGGACAAUGGGGGAAACCCUGAUCCAGCGACGCCGCGUGUGUGAAGAAGGCCUGCGGGUUGUAAAGCACUUUUAGUGGGGACAAAAAGUCACGGGCGAAUACUCCGUGAUCUUGAUUUAACUCACAGAAAAAGCACCGGCUAACUCUGUGCCAGCAGCCGCGGUAAUACAGAGGGUGCGAGCGUUAAUCGGAAUUACUGGGCGUAAAGCGCGCGUAGACGGUUUGGUAAGUCAGAUGUGAAAUCCCCGGGCUCAACCUGGGAACUGCAUUUGAUACUGCCUGGCUAGAGUAUCGAAGAGGGAAGUGGAAUUUCCGGUGUAGCGGUGAAAUGCGUAGAUAUCGGAAGGAACACCAGUGGCGAAAGCGACUUCCUGGUCGAAUACUGACGUUCAUGUGCGAAAGCGUGGGGAGCAAACAGGAUUAGAUACCCUAGUAGUCC